rnacentral:rRNA from 1 species
AUAUGUCCUGUACCACCUCCCCGCCGUUUGAGUAAUGGGGGGACGCAGUAGGAUAGGGUAAGCGCGCUGCUGGAUAUGCGCGUUCAAGCAGUUAGGCUGAUGAGUAGGCAAAUCCGCUCAUCAUAAAGGCUG